AUUGAACGCUGGCGGCGUGCCUAAUACAUGCAAGUCGAACGAAGUGGCUCACGGGUGAGUAAUAUAUAGUUAAUCUGCCCUACACAGAGGAACAACAGUUGGAAAAGACUGCUACUACCUCAUAGGUUAGGAUGAGACUAUAUCAUAUCAGCUAGUUGGUAAGGUAAUGGCGUACCACGGCUAUGACGCGUAACUGGUCUGAGAGGAUGAUCAGUCAAAUUCGAACUGAGACACGGUUCAUACUCAUACGGGAGGCAGCAGUAAGGAAUUGCGCGCAAGGGGGGAAUACCUGACGGAGCAACGCCGUGUGGAGGAUGUCACUUUUCGGAGCGUAAACUCCUUUUAACAGGAAAGCGGUACCUGAUGAAUAAGCACCGGCUAACUCCGUGCCAGCAGCCGCGGUAAUUC
rnacentral:rRNA from 1 species